UACGUAGGGGGCGAGCGUUGUCCGGAGUUACUGGGCGUAAAGGGCGUGCAGGCGGUGCGGUAAGUUUAGCGUGACAGUCUCCGGCUUAACUGGAGAAGGCCGCUGAAAACUGCUGGACUUGAGGGCCAGAGAGGGACAUAGAAUUCCGGGUGGAGUGGUGAAAUGCGUAGAUAUCCGGAGGAAUACCAAAGGCGAAGGCAGUGUCCUGGCUGGCAACUGACGCUGAGGCGCGAAAGCUAGGGGAGCGAACAGGA
rnacentral:rRNA from 1 species